GCCAAUGAACCGAAGAGAGACAAAACAAAACCGAGGCGACCUGAUGGAGUGGAAGAGUGAGCUCGCCCUUGGGGUCGGAGGCCUAGGAUGGGGGGAGGGGCAGUUGCCCUGAACGGAGUGACCCUCUGCAGGGCCAGGCCUCACCAGUGCCUGGACUUGAUUCCCCGCCCCAGCGCGUGCCUAAGCGGCCGGGCGUCCUGCACAUGCUCCGUCUGCUGAUAGCCAGCAAGCUGCAAAAUGCUGCCUGGCAUGCCGGGGAGAAAACCAGAAAGCGGGGCUGAGCUUUCGUGGCCGGUUCUUGGGCCACUGCUGCUCCCAGGCAGCCCGCUCCCGAGCGGCGAGUGACAGCUCCUGCGCGCCCCCCCCCCUGCACCCCGCGGCCUCCCGCUCCCAGCGCCGGGGUUUUCUGGCUCAGCGGGACAGAGUCCGGGGGUGAGGUGGGGGGCAGCCUGCGGGGCCGGGACUAGCAGCAGGUGCGACCAGUCUCAUUUCUUUCAGCCACACCCCUAACCCCACAUCUGAGGGAGUUUACUGCUCCAGCGUGGGAGAAGGUUCAACUGAGCGGCCCUGAAUCCUGUCUCCCUUCCCACACACCAUCCUGUAAGGGAAGCGGGCGCAGAGGAGAGCUGAGCAACAGAGCUUUACACCAAAGAAGGUGGGCGAUACAUUUAAAAAGACGAUUUACAGCAAGGUAAUUUGUGAAAUACACACUGAUUAAGUUUUAAUUUUUUAAAAAGAUUUUAUUUCUUUAUUUGAGAGAGAGCGAGCAUGCGUGGUGGGGAGAGGGACAGGGGAGAGGGAGAAGCAGACUCCCCACUGAGCAGAGAGUCCACCACAGGGCUCGAUCCCAGGCCCCUGGGAUCAUGACCCGAGCCGAAGGCAGCCGCUUAACGACUGAGUCACACAGAUGCCUCUAAGUUUUAAUUUUGUUUCUUCUUGUAGCUGCCCAUUAGGAUGGCCCGCAGGAGGCUGCACACCCCUCCACGGUGGGCUGUCGGGAUACGGCUGAGGGGUCAUGGCAGCCAGUGGCGGAUCUCAGUUACUUGACUGAGUGGACCAGGGUUGGAGCAGGCCAGGGGAGGUGUGAAUUCCCAGAACUCACUCGUGCCCCUCGCUUGGGAGGCAUUCAAGACCACUGCUCCAAGGAGGGCUUCGGGAACCAUCACGGGGCUGAAUAGGGAAACACUGGUUGCCAUAAUUGUAGGAAAAGAAGAACUCGUUUGAAGUCUCCCAGGAAACUUACAUACACUGGCAAGCAUUAUCUGGAUGCUGUAGGCAUCUUAGCCCAUGGAAGCUUUAUCUCUGCCACCAGUGUUGGUGAUGGGAUGUCUAGAUGUGGUGUGACACACAGUGACUGUUUUCUUCUUUCGUGACUCAGUGAUUGCUGCUCUUUGACCAACAAAUGUGGAUUGUCCACUAAACGUAUCCUCAGCCACCUGGGACUGGGAACUGCCUUCAGCGAGCUUUCCAAUCAGCACGACCCUGGCUUUCAUGAGGGUUCAUGAACUGUGCGAGUCUGGCCCCUCCCCCACAUCUCUGCACACAGGGAGCCCUUGGGCAUGGUUCCUGUAUUGAGGACCUAUGGCUGAGUAACCAAUUAUCCUGGAAACACAGUGACUGAAAAGAGCAAACAUCUUCCUUUUCACAUUCCUGCAGGUAAAGUGCCUGAUCCACUCUCCAGCCACGUGACUCCUUUUUGCUGUCGUGGGAAACGAGAAAGGAAAUUUAGAACAGAACCCUCUUGUUCUGUUCAUAAAACCAUUCUGCGUUCUUAAGUCACACAGUUGAGAUUUUCUUUAAUGUACUAUGAGACUUUUUUCUUUUUUAUUCUUUUAUAAAAAGUAAGCAUGGUCAAGCAUUGGACUCUUGAUUUUGGCUCAGGUCAUGAUCUCAGGGUCCUGGGAUUUGAGCCCUGUAUCAGCCUCUGCACUCCUCGGGGAGUCUGCAUGUCCCUCUGCCUCUCCCCCUGCUCAUGCUGUCUCUC